rnacentral:rRNA from 1 species
AUUGAACGCUGGCGGCGUGCCUAAUACAUGCAAGUCGAGCGAAGCGGGGACGGGUGCGUAACCCGUGGAUAACCUCCUAUAAGCCUGGGCUAACUUCGGGAAACCGGAGCUAAACCGGAUACUUCUCGCUGGAUCCGCGCUGCAUUAGCUAGUUGGUACGGUAACGGCUUACCAAGGCAACGAGGCAUAGCCGACCUGAGAGGGGGAUCGGCCACAUUGGAACUGAGACACGGUCCAGACUCCUACGAGAGGCAGCAGUAGGGAAUCUGCCGCAAUGGGCGAAAGCCUGACGGAGCAACGCCGCGUGAGUGAUGAAGGUCUUCGGAUCGGAAAACUCUGUUAUUAGGGAAGCGGUACCUAAUCAGAAAGCCACGGCUAACUACGUGCCAGCAGCCGCGGUAAUUC